AAAGACUCUGAAUACUACUGUGAGAGUUAUAAGCAGUACAUUUCAUAUAUGCUCUGUUUUGUAAGGACUGUUUUGUAAUCCUGCUCAGUCCAUAAGACAACACUCUUUUUCCACAUUAGCAGCUCAAGGACCCUGGCCAGAUCUGGACUCCUUUCCAACAGAGCAAAAGCUGGGUAAAACUCCUCCCCAUCCUUUCUCCAUUGUACUGGCUUGGCAGAGAUUGCUCUUCAGAACAGAAUUUGGUUUCUGACUACAUUCUAUGUUUCUUUUUGAGAUGUAGGGAUACAACUAGGAUUCUGGUCAUUCAUUCAGUGUUAGGUGCAAACAUUUGGGAUUAAGUGGAGUUUGUGGUCUGCCUCAUGGAUUGUUGAUUAUGGUCUAUCUUUUCCAAUUUAAGGGACAGCACAUUCCAUCUUACCUGGAAUUCUAUGUGCAGGAUUUGAAACAUACGUUGUAAAAUGCAAGGGGCAAUUUUGGGGAAAACAAGGGUAAACCUAUGUAACAACAAGGGGGAAGAUAGUGGAAGACAGUGGAAGACAAGGGGUAACAUAUGGGAAAAUAAGAGGAAAGGAAUAGGAAAGCUAGGGGAAGGGAAGGAGAAACAAAGGGGAAUGAAAGAGGCAACCUAGGAGAAGGCAAGGGGCAAACUAGGGGAAGACAAAUGACAUCAUAGGUGAAGACAGGAAAAAACACAGAAGUAGGAAAGUGUAAACCGGGGAAGGCAAUGGGAAACCUACGGGAAUACAAGCAGCAAACUAAGGAAAAAGAAGGGGAUAGGCAGGGGGAAACCCAUGGGAAAGCAAGGUGUGACUUAGGAGAAGGGAAAUGGUAAAGCUAGGGGAAGGCAAGGUGUGGCAAGGAAGGCAAGGGGCAACCUAGGGGAAAGCGAGCGCAACAUAGUGAAAGUGAAGGGGAAGGCCCUGGGAAAACUAGGGGAAGGCAAGGGACAACCUAGGAGACUGCAUCAGAAAAAAAAGGGGAAGGCAAAGGGCAACAUAGGGGAAGGCAAGAGGACACAGAGGGGAAGAGGAUACCUUGUGAAAAUCAAGGAGAAAGCAAGCAAAACCUUGGGAUAAAACGCAAGGGAUAAUCUAGGAGAGGGCAAGUGGAAUACUAGGGGAAGGCAAUGUGAAAGCAAAGGGACACCCUCUCCCUUCCCCUAUGUUUCUCCUUGCCUUCCUCUAGUUUGAUACUUGAAUAGCUCCAGUUUUACCCUAGAUUGCCACUUGCCUUCCUCUGGUUUCCACUUGUCCUCCUCUAGGUUUCACCUUGCCUUCCGCUAGGAUGUCACUUGCCUUCUCCUAGCUUACAUUUUGCCUAGGUUCCCCCCUCCAUUGACUUAUGUUUCUACUUGUCUUCCCCUUGCUUUCAACUUGCAUUCCCCUUGCCUUCUCCUUUUUGUCUCCUUGCCUUUCUCCUUCGUUUCCACUUGCCUUACCUUUGCUUUCUCCUGUAAAAUAUUUCUGUGCUUUAUUUAAACAACAACAACAACGCAAAACUCCAGGGUGCAAAUACCUUUGGGAUAAACCCUGAGGAAGUUAAAUGCCUCCACAAUGAGCAAACUACAGAUGCAGACUCAUCAGAAGAAAAAACUUUUAUUUUAUCACCUGUGUCCGCUCCAGACUCCCAACAGACAAUGCCUCCACUAUCCUUCAAAUUAUUCAAACCAAGAGAGAAAGAGCAAAUAGGAAAGCAGAGGAAAGGGAAAAGGAUUAACCUUUUAAAGGAGAAAGGAGAAAAAGGGAAAAGAAAAGUAAUUUAAAGAAUGAAGUGGGAGAAAAAAAGAAGGAAAAGAAAAAAAGAAAAUAAGAACUCAAGAAAGAAAGCUAUAAAAAGAUACACAAAAGAGCAAAGAAAAUAAUGCAAAGCACAGAAAAAAAUGUAAAAAUAAAAUACAGUAAAGGAAAUUCAAAGCAAAUAAAGGACAAGAAAAACAAAGGAAUUUAAGGAAAAUAAAAAAUGAAAGAGCAAUACAAAACAAAGCAGAGAAAAGUAAAGCAAAGAGCAGUAAUUGAAAGCAGAGAAAACAAUGUAAAAGAAAAAAAGAUGAAAGAAAAAGCAAACCACAGACAUGAAAAACAAACAAAACAGAAGAAAAAAACACAAAAAGAACCAAAAAAAAAAGAAAAAAAGAAAAAACCAAUUAAAAGAAAAAACAAAGGAAAAAAAAGCAAUGCAAAGCAAAGGAAAAAAAAGCAAGCCAAACUAGAGAAAAGGAAAAAGAAAAAGGAAAAUUAGUUAGAAAAGAAAUGAAAAUAAGUAAAAAAAAGAAAGCAACAAAGGAAGAAAAAGCAAAUUGGAAAGAAAACCAUUGCAUAGCAAAGGAAAAAAAAAGAAAAAGAAAAAGAAAAGCAAGGCAAAGCAUAGAAGGAAAGAAAAAACAAAGAAAGAAAGAAAGAAAACUUGCAGGAUUCUAGGAAUUAACACAGAAAAGCAGAGGAAGCAAGGCAGAAGGCAUGGUUAUGUCUGUGUGUCUGUCUGAAGGAACAGAACUGCAGACGUUCAGAGCGGUGCUCAGUGCACCCAUUGCACAGACAGCUGUACAGAACAGGGCUCCAGGAACACUAACAGCUGCUGAGGCACUGCUGGGAAGGAAGGAGGAGCUGCCACUCAUCCUGACAGAGAAAGUGCCAAAGGAGAACCAGGAACGCCCAGCACAGAUCAAUCUGCAGCAGCAAAACCAGCAGAGCUCCCCAAGAGAGAAAUGCUUCCUUGGAAGCAAGGGACAGCACAGCCUGUGCUGCACUGCUGCACCCACACAUGGGCCCUGCUCUCCCUUCUCAAGCUGUGGGCUGGGAGCUGUGUCCUUCCCAGGCAGUACAGCAACGGACAUGCCAGAAUAUGUAAUCCCAUCUCUUCUGCGCAUCCCAUUGGAAGUAUCAUUCAUUGAGAGGCUUCCUAGCUGAAUUUCCUUUGUCUCUUAUCUGCCAUCUUUUUUUUAUGGUACCCAUAUUUCUGCAUUUUUGCUGCUGACAGAAUGAAUUUAGUUUUUUUUCUUGCUUUAUAACAAGAAGAAGACAAGAAGAGAGGAGAGUGGAAAUUAUGAAGGCUUCUCUGAGAGCUGCCACUGCAUGUGCAGAGGUGUGUCCUUGGUGAACACAGAUGUUCUUGUAGCUCUCAAGGCCUCAGUCUGUCAGACAGGAGAGUGAUUGUGAAGUUCUGAUGGAAGUGGUGCCCUAUUUCUACACCUGCUUUCUUUCUUUCCAGUCCACUGCACUGAACAGCCUUGUGGAGACGAUGCAGAAGCUGCAGCUGAAGGACUGAGAGGAGAAGCAGCAGAAGGCAGCGGCUGCAGUGCGUGGCCUUUACAGGGCAGUGCCUCAAGUGCCAACCAACUCAGCACUCUAAGUCUGGUUGCAUUCAAUAAACAAUCACAAG
ensembl:lncRNA